CCCCUCCUCUCCUCUCCUCUGUCUCUCUCUCCCACGGCGUGCUGUGCCUGCGCUCUGCUGUGUCCGAUUCUUGUUCCGCCAUUGCCACGAGAUCAGAGGCGGUGACGAGAAAGAUCACCUAACUCGCUGCCUUUGUCUUCUUCAGACCGUCUCCAUCGGUACGCCUCUGCGCCCACGACCCCAGAGCCCCGCAGCGGGGAUACCGCCGCCUCCGCUCAGCUAUGGCUCGAUGGCACUUUCUUCUUGCAUUUGCCAUCCGGCUCUGUGUCCCUGCUCCGUCUGAGCUUGUGGUCAGUUUGUUAGGAUCAACUGCCGUCGGCCGCGCCCUCGCCGGUCACCCGGACCCCUUCCGCGUCGUGCACCGGUCCGAGCUUGCCGAGAGGAGGUCAUCGGGGAGUGCGUUGACGCGGUCCUCGCCGUCGUAGCCCUUGGCUGCGGAAAGCGUGGCGCCGUUGCUGGAGGCGGGAUGGCCGGGGAACCACCGGAUGCGGCCUUGGACGCUGCGAGGACCGCGGCGAGCCCCUCGUGCGCCGGCGUGGAGGGCCCUAGGGCCGGCGUCGCAUUUCGGCUUCCGAUUCUAGGUCGGUGCCGGCAUCCCCUCCCGCCUCGCAGCCGCCGUCGACGCCGCCGCCUCUCCACCACCGCGCUCGCCCGCCAAUGCCGCCUUGCCCUGCUGCCGCCCUCCCCUUCUCCUGUGUCUCCGCCGCCGCGUCGCCGCUACCGCAUCGCCAGCCGGCCUGCCCAGUCCAGAGAGAGGAGAGAGAGAGAGAGGAGGAAAGGAGAGGAAGGGAGAGACUGGCUGACGUGACAUCCUGACAUAUGGGACCAACGUGGGUCUCAUGCUGACUCAAGCCGUCACGUAGACCAAAACCAGGGUGAAAACCACCGAACAAUCUCGGGUGAUCGGUUUUGUAUAGUUAAAGAAUCUUGUAUAUCAACACGCUCCCCGACGAGAGGAGGUCGUCGGGGAAUCGUGGUUUUGCGGUUUGAGGACAAUUUUUAUCCCGAUGACAAGUCGAGGGACUUUCGGUGUACUUUUUCCUUUUUAUCGUUGAGCUGUUGAUAUGCAAGAGCAACGAAU